GAGCAAGAGGCCUCAAGCGUUAGGGCGGAAAGUCACUGGGCUUAAAGCGUGUGUAGGCGGAUCGUUAAGUGUCUUGUGAAAUCCCACGGCUCACCCGUGGAACGGCUGGGCAUACUGGCGAUCAUUGGGGCCAACUAGGGGCAACUGGAACAAGCGGGUGGAAGCGGUGAAAUGCGUAGAUAAUCGGCUUGGAACGCCGAAGGUGAAAACAGGGUUGCUGGGGUUGUGCCGACGCUGAGACACGAAGACCAGGGGAGCAAACGGG
rnacentral:rRNA from 1 species